GAUUCUGGCUCAGGAUGAACGCUGGCGGCGUGCUUAACACAUGCAAGUCGAACGGAGCUUAGAAGGAAGCUUGCUUCAUUUAAGCUUAGUGGCGGACGGGUGAGUAACGCGUGAGCAACCUGCCCUCGAGUGGGGAAUAACAUCGAGAAAUCGGUGCUAAUACCGCAUAAAGUCGAGAGACCGCAUGAUCUUUCGACCAAAGGAUUUAUUCGCUUGAGGAUGGGCUCGCGUCCGAUUAGCUAGUUGGUGAGGUAACGGCCCACCAAGGCAACGAUCGGUAGCCGAACUGAGAGGUUGAUCGGCCACAUUGGGACUGAGACACGGCCCAGACUCCUACGGGAGGCAGCAGUGGGGAAUAUUGGGCAAUGGGCGAAAGCCCUGACCCAGCAACGCCGCGUGAAGGAUGAAGGUCUUCGGAUUGUAAACUUCUUUGAUUGGGGAAGAAUAAAUGACCUACCCAAAGAACAAGCCACGGCUAACUACGUGCCAGCCGCCGC
rnacentral:rRNA from 1 species